GAAAACUGACCCUCCGUGAAAGUAAUAAACUUGCUGCUCUGAACAUCAGAUCCAUAAGCAGGAGUAACAGGUAACCUGAAGUGUCACCUCCAAGAACGGGACCCAGCCCCACAAUGAGGAAGCAAUUUAACUCUGCCUUAGCCUUGAAAAUGUGACAAAACUGAGUUGGACAGCAGUCUUGAGACACAUGGGACAAAAGGCGAGAUUCGUUCUGUCCGGGGAAAAACAAGAUUUUCAGGACAAAUGAGAGAGUGACAGAUUCAUAAAGAGAGUGACAAAUUCAUCGAUGAAGACUGCGGAGAGGAGAGGUGAGGAAGCCACAGGCAGUCAGCAGAAAGCAGUGAGCUGCUCCCUCCACAGGCCCGGCAGCGGCAGCCCCGCGAUCUCCAGGGUGGACGUCGGUACUUCAUGGCAACCUGCACUGCCAGGUGCUCCUGCCCAACUGUCGGCUAACAUUUACCCAUUCCAAGCGCACUUAAGGUAGGUGAGGCUAUGUUACCAUGUUCAGUAGACUGAAGGGUAUUAAACGCAUUUCCGACUUAAAAGUAUCUUCAACUUAGGAUGGGUUUCUGGGAAGGCAGCCCUGUCGUAAAUUAGAGAGUAUCUGUCUGUAUCAAACGUGUGACCUUACGUGCACACUUCAUUCUCUCAUGCAAUGAAAUAGGCAGAAACAAGCAAACUAUUAUUACCAACAUACAAAUAGUGAGAUUUCAAUGACCAGAUACUCAAACGAGCCUGCAAAAAUCCUCACACCACGGCCUACAGGAUGAAGUCCAUAAAUGACUACACUGAUUAAAUAAGUCUUUGCAUUUCUUCAUUUAUAUUGGUCCUAUUUUGAGAAAUGUCUAGAAAGGUAGCAAAAUCACCUAGUAUAUAGGUUCGGGUAAAUAAUGAAGAGUACUCAGUACUAUCUUCUUAAGAAAAGAAAAAAAAUUCUGAAUUUACUAAUUUUUUUCCUCUUAAGAAAAGAAAUCUAGGGUGUUGGCUACGUUUGCUCAUGUUGAGAAUGCAAAAGGCCACUGUUUCUUAAGCGGCUCUUGCACAACAAAGAAAAACUACCUGCUCCCUGGCCCAGCUGCCUGCUUUGCUGGAGAAGGCAGGCGGGGUGGAGACUCCUCCAGGAGGUGUUUAAUAAUCUGCAAAGGUCCAGACAGCAACCCGGGGCAGACACAGCUCAAGCCAGCCAACCUGACCAUUGGAAAGAAAGGAGGAGAAUGCACACUUUCCUGGGUUCAGCUCUCUGGGGUCCCCAACACCUCCUCUUUGUGGCCAUCUUGUCCCCUGGCACCAAAGCUGAGCUCAGAGGAAAGCACCUGCCAUGAUCCACUCUGUCUCUGCCGCCUCCCUGCCCACUCCUGUGGGAAGCUCCCUCUCGGCAUCUGUCCGUCAUCAGCAUCUGUCCGUCAUCGGCAUCUGUCUGUCACGGGUCAUCUGCCGCACCACACUGAGAACCCAUGAGUGCCAAAUGUCCCCCGUCAGCUGGCCCACCCGCAUUUCAUCUUCCUGGCUUAAGAAGGUUAAAAUCACCAGAAUAAUCAGGAACUAAACAGUGAAUCUUCUCUUUCUGACCUGCCCAACUCUUAGCCUUAUUUGUGACCCCCAGAAGUCUUAACUACUUAUAUUCAAGUCUGUGUUUUCCUGAAUUAACAGUCACUCAGCAUUGAAUGGCAAACUAUUUCUCACAAAAAUUGUAUCGGUGGAAAAAAAGUGAAACUUGUUCACUACACCCUUAAGUAUCAACUGAGAAAGAAUCUGCUAAAGCCACAAACGACCAUUCUGUACAACUUUCAAUGCAUCAUUUACUGUACUAAAUUUCAAAGAACAUUCUCGAAUGCUAAAAUAAAUCAAUGCCCAAACACAGUGUCUUGUCAGCUCAUGCAAUAUAGGUUAAAUAGUACCAUAUGGCAAAGACAGACACAUGUUGCCCUUUUCUGAAACAAAAAAAUUCCUAAACAAAUGUCCUUUACUUUCACAUGGGAAGAGUGGGGGAUUAGAGAGUUCUUCAAGUGUUAAUAGCGCUGAAAAAUUUUUAAUUCUUAGCCAUUAACAAGAAAUUAUAGUUUUAAUAGAGAACCUUGAUUUUUUAAGCCU
rnacentral:lncRNA from 10 species